GCGGACGGGUGAGUAACAUUUAGGAAUCUGCCUAGUAGUGGGGGAUAGCUCGGGGAAACUCGAAUUAAUACCGCAUACGACCUACGGGUGAAAGGGGGCGCAAGCUCUUGCUAUUAGAUGAGCCUAAAUCAGAUUAGCUAGUUGGUGGGGUAAAGGCCCACCAAGGCGACGAUCUGUAACUGGUCUGAGAAGGAUGAUCAGUCACACCGGAACUGAGACACGGUCCGGACUCCUACGGGAGGCAGCAGUGGGGAAUAUUGGACCAAUGGGGGGCAACCCCUGAUCCAGCCCAUGCCGGCGUGUGUGAAGGAAGGCCUUUUUGGUUGUAAAGCACUUUAAGCAGGGAGGAGAGGGCUAAUGGUUAAUACCCCAUUAGAUUAGACGUUACCUGCAGAAUAAGCACCGGCUAACUCUGUGCCAGCAGCCGCGGUAAUACAGAGGGUGCGAGCGUUAAUCGGAAUUACUGGGCGUAAAGCGAGUGUAGGUGGCUCAUUAAGUCACAUGUGAAAUCCCCGGGCUUAACCUGGGAACUGCAUGUGAUACUGGUGGUGCUAGAAUAUGUGAGAGGGAAGUAGAAUUCCAGGUGUAGCGGUGAAAUGCGUAGAGAUCUGGAGGAAUACCGAUGGCGAAGGCAGCUUCCUGGCAUAAUAUUGACACUGAGAUUCGAAAGCGUGGGUAGCAAACAGGAUUAGAUACCCUGGUAGUCCACGCCGUAAACGAUGUCUACUAGCCGUUGGGGUCCUUGAGACUUUAGUGGCGCAGUUAACGCGAUAAGUAGACCGCCUGGGGGAGUACGGCCGCAAGGUUAAAACUCAAAUGAAUUGACGGGGGGCCCGCACAAGCGGUGGAAGCAUGUGGGUUUAAUUCGAUGCAACCGCGAAGAAACCUUACCUGGGUCUUGACAUAGUGGAGAAUCUUUUCAGAAGAUGAGAGAGUGCCCUUCGGGGAAUUCACAUACAGGUGCUGCAUGGCUGUCGUCAGCUCGUGUCGUGAGAUGUUGGGUUAAGUCCCGCAACGAGCGCAACCCUUUUCCUUAUUUGCCAGCGGGUUAAGCCGGGAACUUUAAGGAUACUGCCAGUGACAAACUGGAGGAAGGCGGGGACGACGUCAAGUCAUCAUGGCCCUUACGACCAGGGCUACACACGUGCUACAAUGGUAGGUACAGAGGGUUGCUACACAGCGAUGUGAUGCUAAUCUCAAAAAGCCUAUCGUAGUCCGGAUUGGAGUCUGCAACUCGACUCCAUGAAGUCGGAAUCGCUAGUAAU
rnacentral:rRNA from 1 species